GAUGAACGCUGGCGGCGUGCCUAAUACAUGCAAGUCGAGCGAAGCGGGGACGGUUGCGUAACACUUGGUUACCCUCCCAUACGACUGGGAUAACUUCGGGCAACCCGAGCUAAACCGGCUACUUAUAUAUGGCUCCGCGCUGCAUUAGCUAGUUGGUAAGGUAACGGCUUACAAAGGCAACGAUGCAUAGCCGACCUGAGAGGGUGAUCGGCCACACUGGAACUGAGACACGGGCCAGACUCCUACGGGAGGCAGCAGUAGGGAAUCUUCCGCAAUGGGCGAAAGCCUGACGGAGCAACGCCGCGUGAGUGAUGAAGGUCUUCGGAUCGUAAAACUCUGUUAUUAGGGAAGCGGUACCUAAUCAGAAAGCCACGGCUAACUACGUGCCAGCCGCCGCGGUAAUAC
rnacentral:rRNA from 1 species